AAAACGACUCUCGGCAACGGAUAUCUAGGCUCUCGCAUCGAUGAAGAGCGUAGCGAAAUGCGAUACUUGGUGUGAAUUGCAGAAUCCCGCGAAUCAUCGAGUUUUUGAACGCAAGUUGCGCCCGAAGUCAUUCGGCCGAGGGCACGUCUGCCUGGGUGUCACGC
rnacentral:rRNA from 1 species